rnacentral:lncRNA from 1 species
AUGACCAAGAGGAAACUCAGGGCCAUGGAGUUUUCUCCACAUGUGACUCACAGUCCACCAUCACAGGAAGUCAGGGCAGGAACCCGAGGAAGGAGAAACCAUUGAGAAAUGAUGCUUACCGGUUUGACCCCAAGGUUUGCUUACUGCUUUCUUAUACUACACAGGACCACCUACCCCGGGAUGGCAUCACCCACUGUAGCCUGGACCCCUGCCCCCAUCAAUCGCUAAUCAAGGAAAUGUCCCACAGGCCAAUGUGAUAGACCAAUUUCAUCAUUUGAAUUUUCUUCUUCCCAGGUUACUGUAGUUUGUGCCAGAAGGGUUAAUGACACAAAAGCCUCAAGGGGACUGGGAAGCUCUGGGCAAGAAAGCUGAUGUGACUGAUGAUACCGGUGGAAGCCCCUGAUGAGGAGAGCCACACACCAAACCCACUGGCAUCUUCCACCUCCAGACUGUAUGAGAGAUGAUCUGGAGAUCUUUCCGUCCCCAAACUUCCCCCUUUUGUAUCCUAUAAAACCCCUAGGUCCCCAUGCUACAUGUACACAGUCUCCACUUCUGCAGAGAGACUGCAGCCCCAAGUUUCUUCUUUUAAACAAUUCUGCUUCUGGAGAUGCCUGUCUGCUCUUACUUCCACAUUUUUCCCAUCAAUCGUGAUGUAACAGUGUCAAGUUGACAAGAAAAUUAGCCAGCACAAGCCUGAUGCACUAACCGUGCUCCUCCAACAUUCUAGAAGAAAACCAUAGCCACGUGUUAAUGUAUGUUCAAUUACAUUCUCUAAAAAUUCCUCUCCCGUACGACCGACUGAAGAACAAAUUGCUUUGCAGCAAAGCCUGAGGAAAUUUCAUGACACAUUAUUGGAUCUGUUUCUUUUGAAGAAUGGCUUAAUUUCAUUUCAGAACCAAGCCCUGCAAUUUACACUUCAUAUUCCUCAUUGACUGUUUCUGCUGUGUUAAAGGGCCAAGGUAAGGCCUCUAUAGGCCAUGCUAUCUUGUGAAAAGUAAGUAGUUCUCUUGAUUGCUUGGAAGAUUCCUUGAUAUCUCUUAAGUAUGUGCAGGAGGAUGCAGGAUGUACAAAGGGAAGUGAUGGUCGUCAAAGGCUUAGGUUGAAGGUUCUAGGCUCCAGUGACGGAAAGGACUAGUGGGGUCCUUUAAAUAGUGUGGUGGCCAAUCAGAGAAAUUACCUAGAACCUUAAGAUCUUUAGAACGCCACAGUUAGCUUUCUGUCACGGUGAUAAACAUUCAAUCAACGUAAGUGAAAGAAAGGUUCGUUCUGUCCUAUAGUUUGAUAGGCAUCAGUCUACAGUUGCUUGCCCGUUACUUUGAGCUUGUGAUAGCUCAGGGUGUCAUGGUUAGAGCAUGGAGCAGAAGAGAGUGUUGCGACAGCCAGGAAGCAAAGAGAACCACGGAGGGCCUCAACCCCCUUCAAGAGCCUUCUCAGCAUGGGUCUUGUCUAAUCAUCCAAAGGCCAAAGGCGAAGGAAAUUUCUUCAAGACAGCAAUCUAGAAACUCUAUUUGAGUUUCUAGUCUGUGGAGGUAAGACUCAAACUUCAGCUCCUACCUGACAUGUUAGCCUUCCAGAUUCUAAUGC